AAAAAUUUAAAUAAAAAAAAAUUUUUUGGGAUGGGGUCUGGCUAUGUUCCCCAGGCUGGCCGUGAGCUCCUGGGCUCAAGCGAUCCUCCCACCUUGAUCUCCCAAAGUGCUGGAUUACAGGAGUGAGCCACCACUCCCGACCUCAAGCAGCCUUUUGUAGAGCCUUUUUUGUGGAGAGACUUAAGCCUCCCACCAACAACCAGCACUGAUUUGCCUGCCUGGUUUAUUAAUCCAGCCUAUAAGCUUCUCUAGACCUAGGACUAUGGUGCCUGCACAGAAGAUGUGCUCAACAUAUAACUGAUUAAAUAACUUAAUGAGUAAAUGAAGGACUGGACUCGUUUGUGGGCCAUAUUUGGAGGUGACUUUGUAAACUCUAACAGCAUGGGAUUUUAAUAAGCUGUCUUCAUAGCUUGGACCAUGGGCUUAGGACAGUGUUGGGUACGUUAUUGAUGAUCAAGGAAUACUGAAGAGCUGUUUUCCUAUUUUGGUGCAGAUGUGGAGAGAGGAUUGCUUGAGACUCUUCCCAGCUCUUGAGAUUCCAUGUAGGUUGUGAACACUGAGGAGUGUGUGGAGCUUAUGUCUGAACUUCACCUCUCUAAUGUGACCAUCCCUGAAAUGAAAAGAAAACCAGUGCUAAAUGGAAAUACCUUCUUUCUUUCCCUCCCACAGCUCGUGCAUAUCUCUUCUACACUCAAUCAGCAUCUCUAGAGGAGGUGCCAGCUCUCUCAACAAGUAAUUCCUUUUGGCCCCAUCACAGAAGGGAAGUACAAUCAACAGCAAUGAAGCUUCUUUAUUCCUUGCUAAUUUAGUGCCACGACACAUGAUAUGCACAGCUUUGUGAGUGGGAGGGUUUCAAAGCAGGAAGCUUUGGAUCUGACUUAGGGAGGCUGGUUAUCCACUUACGAUACUUGACUUAGCAGAAGCCAGUCUUUGUGAAAGCUGUUAUGGGGCCCCCUGCUGGCAUUGUGACAUGGAGACACUUCAUCUUCAGUGAACCUACAGUUCCCUCUGGGAAGCUUCAAGUUCAACAGGGCUGUGGACUUGCAGAGAUUCUUGCUGUAGGCUAGGAAAGUAGAUUGUAGUACUAGUACUACUGCUAGUACUACGUUUUCUACUAUCUUUGGGUUUCUUGGGCCACUUUGAAACUCUAACCACAGUGUUUUCAAACUUGCAAUGGUAAAAUGCAUUGUAAAUAAAAAUUUUAACUU
rnacentral:lncRNA from 1 species